rnacentral:rRNA from 1 species
UACGGGGGGGGCAAGCGUUGUUCGGAAUUACUGGGCGUAAAGGGCUCGUAGGCGGCCAACUAAGUCAGACGUGAAAUCCCCAGGCUCAACCUGGGAACUGCGUCUGAUACUGGAUGGCUUGAAUCCGGGAGAGGGAUGCAGAAUUCCAGGUGUAGCGGUGAAAUGCGUAGAUAUCGAGAGGAACACCUGCGGCGAAGGCGGGUUGCUGGGCUGACACUGACGCUGAAGCGCGAAAGCUAGGGGAGCGAACGGG